GAGUUUGAUCAUGGCUCAGAUUGAACGCUGGCGGCAGGCCUAACACAUGCAAGUCGGGCGGUAGAGAGAAGCUUGCUUCUCUUGAGAGCGGCGGACGGGUGAGUAAUGCCUAGGAAUCUGCCUGGUAGUGGGGGAUAACGCUCGGAAACGGACGCUAAUACCGCAUACGUCCUACGGGAGAAAGCAGGGGACCUUCGGGCCUUGCGCUAUCAGAUGAGCCUAGGUCGGAUUAGCUAGUUGGUGAGGUAAUGGCUCACCAAGGCGACGAUCCGUAACUGGUCUGAGAGGAUGAUCAGUCACACUGGAACUGAGACACGGUCCAGACUCCUACGGGAGGCAGCAGUGGGGAAUAUUGGACAAUGGGCGAAAGCCUGAUCCAGCCAUGCCGCGUGUGUGAAGAAGGUCUUCGGAUUGUAAAACUCUGUUAUUAGGGAAGAACAAACGUGUAAGUAACUGUGCACGUCUUGACGGUACCUAAUCAGAAAGCCACGGCUAACUACGUGCCAGCCGCCG
rnacentral:rRNA from 1 species